AAUAACAAGGUAGGAAGAAAGCCCUGGAGCAAGUGAAGAACUGAAGGACAAUGGACAAAUAAUGGGGUAAUAGGGAUAAUGCACCAACAAUGGCAUGGAAGAAUUACCAUUUUCGGCAUGUCAGAAUCUGCACCUCCACCAGGAACAAGGAUGGCAAUACCCAAUAUAUGGACAUUCCAUGUAACAGUCUUGCGAUUUGAUAAGACAUGCCUGCGGAGAGACAUAAAACAUAGGAAGAGCAGCAAGGCAGCACAAUUAUCAUGGAUAUCAAAUUGAUUUGGAUCAGUAUAAUCAUAUCGCAUAUAAAAGUAAAAUUCAUGUCUUUGACUAGGAGGCAAGAAUAUCUACUAAUUAGAUGAGCUUUCUUGAUAUACUUACUCAAUUUUAGUCUGAAGUCGUGCAGUCGUAUUUUGAAUUUUGUUGAUGGAUGACAGAAUCUGUAACACGGAACACUAUCAAGUCACAACAGCAUCUAGCAUGUAAAGCCUUGCCUUAUUAAACAAUGUAACGACUAGUUUAGGUAUUUGAAAGUUAAAAGAGUUUUAAUAGAAGACGGUUCAAUUUUAAAGUUGAAUAUUGUUCCACAUUGUGUUUGACAUCUAUAAUUUGGUUACACAUUCAUCAAAUAAUCAAUGUCUGUCCUCUCUUUCAUUUUCCUAACAUGAUAUCAGGGCAUCUACGAUUUUGGUAGAGACGUAAAGCAUAUCCAUCAGUAAUCAGGUUCUCUAAAAUUUUCCUUUUUCAUGAAUUCACUUUUCUCUUUUCUGGUGACUGUUCUGGGAUUGCUUCUUUUCUAAGUAACCAUUCCGAUAACACUCUCAUUCGCACUGACAAUCCCAGCAGUGUACAUCUUUUGAUCAUUUCUAAGUCACGAUGCCUAUUUCUAGUGAUCGUCUGACACCAAUGUCUAUUGCAAAAGAUUGUUUUGGCGACAAUUAGGUGAAUGUUCCAAUAGUAUUUGGGCCCUUACCUGUAACUUCUACAAAGGCAUCGCCUUAUUCUGGUCAAUUUUUGCAUCUUUUGUUUGGAGAUUUAAGAAAAAAUAGUAUAGUUAAAAAGAUCUCCUAAAAAGAAGUUGCAAAAAUGACCAUAAAAAGGAGAUGCUACCACAAAAAUUGGUAUAACAUUUUAGCAACAUUCUUGUGAACUUCCAAUAAGUUGUUCCAAGGGCUCCAUCAGUACUAUUUUGCCAACUAUUUUCUCUGAUUCAAAGUAAGCAAAUUUCUUUCUUAACUUACGUUUGAGGAUAUGCUCGUAUGUAACUUAUAAGUUAGUCAUUGUUAAAGAAUGAAUCUUGGGAGCUCACUCAAUCCCAAAAAUUAGGGCAGCUUUGCGCAAGACCAUAUAAUGAGACCAAAAAGCCCUUAACCCACCGAUGUGGGACUCUUAACAGUUAUACAAGUCAGAAUCUGAGUUAAAAAUCAUCAAAGUUCUCCCAAGUAUUCUGGCUAAAUUACAUUUUUGUUUUAAAGAUGAGAUCUGAUUAGUUUACGCCGUAACUUAUAGAAGAUGUGCCCGGUGUUAGGAGAACUAGUCAAGAAAGUUAAUUCUAGAAUAUCUAUAUAUUUUCUGUUUCUACAGAUAUUAUAUAGACAUUGUCCUUGACUUCUACUAAUAGCUGUAUCCAUUCACAAACUUACUUUAUGCAUCUUUUCUGCACCCUUAUACUUGUUGCAUUAGCUCCGAAUCGCAAAGUAAAUUGAUGUUCUCUGUCACUGUUAGUGUUAGAACACCCAUUGUAUGAUGUUCAUUAUGAUAAGAAACAUUCAUGCAAAAUGAUAUAAAGGCAAUCAGAAAUCAAUUACCAAAUGAAUGUAACACAAUGACGUUGAACACCACUAAACAAAAUGUCAUGUUUUAAGUAGUAACUUGUAUGUUAUACAAUGAACGGAAUUUUGGUGAUCAGUGGAUAAACCUGGAGGCCAAAGUGAAAAUAAGACGACUAUCCAGAGAUCUCAGAAGUAUCAAAUUUUAUGGAGUUCUAUGUAAAACAAUCACAACAGCUUGAAUACUUACCCUGUCCUGCAGAGAGUAAGAGUGUUCCAAAAGGGAAGAAAGACUCAUAAUAUUCUUGAAACAUUCUAGAUCACAACUAAUUUGAAGUGGCUGGACAGAGGCCUGUUUAUACAAAGUUAUAGGAUGUCAAUCUCUGAAAAAACUCCUGUUCAAUAAUUAAAUAACUUAUAACAGCUGCAUAACAUUGUGGUGAUAAUAAAAAGUUUCCAACUGACUUAAAUAUUGUAAAAGCAAAGAAGAUGACAAUACCUUUACAGAUAAAGUAGAAUCCAGUUUUAGACGCGACAUGUCAAGUUGGAAACUUAGAGAAGGUUGAUGAAUUUUGGGCUUUCCUCGAUCAGAAUUUACCUAAGUUAACCAAAGCAUUAUAAGCUAUAACAGUUUAUAAUCAAAUAUUAUUUUAAUUAGUUGCAAGAAGUGAUGUGUAUGCAUAAAUGCAAGCAAACAUAGAGGCAAUUAACUAGCCACCUAGUUCAUAAGGGAUCAAAGAUGCACAACUAUUUACGGCAGAGACAUUAUAAGACCGGACUAUUAAUUGAGAGCAUUUUUAUUUAAUUUGGCUUACUUAAAGGGCAUUUUUGACCCUUUUCCAUUACAUUCAUGAGCCACAAAAUGAGUAUAGUGGAACUAUCACAAGGAAAGAUUUCAAAUUGUUAUCAAGACAGUAAUCUUUUUGAUGUGAGGCCAAAAAUAUAUAUUUUAAUAAUUAUUUGUAUUUUUCCUUUUUGAGCAUGAGUUUUAUGAAUUGUGUUAAAUAGUGUAUUUUAUUUGUAGAAGUAAAUUGGCGUAAAGAUGAAGAAGUUUGGAGCUAAAUGAAUUAAAGAUGGAAGAUUAUAGAAUGAAUAUAUAUGAAAAAAAAGGUCUCCUGAAAUUAAAGAAAGCAAAUUGAUGGCCGUUACUCAUUGACAUGUAGCAACUUCUGAAGGCACUUGCCAAUUGAUGAAAGACGCUAAUUGUUAAGGCGGUUGGACUGUUUCAUCUUGAAACCAAUUCCUGUUUGUUUUCGGUUCUCAAUUUGUUUUGGACUAAAUUAUUUUAUUUAGGGAUUUCUACAUCUACAAAUACUACUUUUUAGGGGGUUUUUUCUUUUUCUUAUUUUAUUAGACAUUAGUAGCUCAAGACCCUUGUUCUGGAGUUGUAGCUACGGGUAAUUGUUGAACAUUGAUUGUUUUGAAUUAAUGUUGGUUGUCACUUAAAUUACUUUGUUAUUCUUGUUAUAGUAUUUCAUGUUUAAUCAAUAUAGAGAUAAAUAUAUUGUGUAUUCUUGAACUCGAGAGACGGAAAGGUAUAUAGACCAAAGAAUACAAAGAGUUUGAUCUCUCUUACAUACCACUUGCUCAGAUUCAUAUUUAGGAUUGACACUCAGAUGAACACUGAGCUUGAUUACUAAACGGGAUGAAAUAUAAAUGCUUAUGAAUUGACUAUUGUUCGCCCCUGCUCUCGAUGUCGUUAGAUAGUCAACUGGAGUACGAGAUUAGAGGUCGAGAGAUCAUGAUCAUAAAAUCUACCUUAUAAAUAAGUAAUUUGAUAACUGUGGUUUUUUUUAUUUCCCACCUGGUAUCCACAACCCACAUUGGAGCUCCGACUAAAUCUGUGGCAGGGCCCAUUCGGGGGUAGCGCUCCCAACAGGAUUUUCACCAUACCAGAGCUUGAACCCGAGACCUCUGGUUAAGGGUAAAACACUCCCACCAAUAUACCACAACCCAUGUUGGUUGAUAAGCGUAGUUAAUUCAUGCAUAAAAUGUGAUACCUUAAGCAUACUGCAGCCCUGGAAUUAUACCACUUAUUGUAAGUAAUUUUAUUGUUUUAUUCUUGCAUUCUUAAUAUUCAAUUAUAAAUUAAACUCUUUUGGCACGCUUGAAUAAAUAAUUAGACUAGUAUAAUUCAUUAGAAUAGUUAAUCGACAAAUCCUUUGGAUUUGAUAAUCUAGCUCUUUUAGAACCACAAUAUUACUUGCGCAACCACUAAACUUACAUGUGCAACGGGAAGUAACAUGAAUAUGGACAUGUCACUCAAAAUUAUUAACUUCUUUAACAUAGACUAACCCUUGUUCGUAAAACGACUUGUUUGUUGAAUGGAUUAAGCAUCUUGACCGAGUUUAUUUCACCAAUGAUAACAGCAGUCUCCUCCCAAGUCUCACACCCAACAGAAAUCCCUUCAAGUACCAAAUUGGCAACGGCAUAACCCAGCUUCCUAGAAAAUAAAACAGAAGAGCAACUUGUGAGUGCACCAUAACAUAAAUCAAUACAACUAUAAAUCUGGAACAAGUGAGGUCGACUAUGAAUCGUCAUUCCCCAUGUUAAUCGAUUCCAACUCACUUCAGGUCAAUUCCAUGUACUUCAUAAAAUAGGUAUCAGGCCAAGGGUCAAGAAAAGACAAACACACAUAUUGUCUUUGAACUGAUUAGUCUAUUUGUUGUAUUCAGUAACACCAGAGGCAUCACUGACAUAUGUAAAUGAAAGGGAGAGGCUUCAAAGAAAAGCAACUUUGUAUGAAGUGUAUCCUAUGAACCCAUAGAAAGAGGUGGCAAAUAAAGUAAGGAACUUCAGCCCAAUUAGCUUCAUAUGAAGUGUUUAUGAGAUGAUGGCAACACUUCGAGCACAAAGUCGUAGGUAUCUAAAACAAGCAGGUAUCUCAAACCCAAGAUUUGUAGUGGAAGGCAGAUUGACAAACUGUCUCAAUUGCUUGUCCAUUUCUAAUUCAAAGUAGAUCCCCAGGUUGGCAGGUUACGCUUUUGAGGAGAGCUAAAUCUUUAAAAGAACAAGGAGAAAGGCUAUUGAAACAGUUGCGUGUAGAUUUAAUCACAAGAAUGAUUUCCAAAACUCAACCACUUAAAUUUUGAACCAUAAUGAUCAGAAAAGGAAAAAUAUAGAUUUAGUGUCAGAUAAAUUUGUCUUCUACAAGUAAGACAUCACACCCUACAUGCUCCGUAUACUAGCAGAAACUUGUUUGAUGUUGAACUUCAAUGAAGAGAAAUAGAUUUGAUUGUCAGCAGGAGCAUCAUCAUCCAGUGAUAGAACAGGCUGGAACUUAGUAGCUUCAUAUAUAUCCUGUUAAGAAAAAGUAUCAGUAAGUAUUUUUAGUCAAAAGUUGAAAUUCAUAGCAAUCACGUUAAUGCAAAUACCAACCCUUUAUAAACUUAAGUAAAACUAACUUAUUUUUAUAAAUGGUAGUGUUGUAUUCCUCAGCAUUAAGGAAUGCUGGCUACCUCAAAAAGUGUUACAAGAGAAGAAAAAAUAAAAUCUAGAUUACAGAGAGCCAAUGAAAUCUACAAGAUCUUCUAUUUCCUCUAUACAAUUUCAUUUAACCCCAAAAAACAGUGUGGAUAGGCAAUUCCCUUUCACAACAUGGAUGGGCUUAAAUUUGUUUUCCAAAGCAUCUCACAUUUCUUUCCUUCCACACUGACGACCAUAUGCAGGAUGGGAUUAUCCUACACCACUUCUUCUAAUCCUUGCUCCCCCUCUUCUGAUCCAACAGCUCAUUAGAUCAGCUGUAUGUUCAGGCAUUGUCCAUUCAGUCUUGGUGAUAGAGAACAUAUGCCAAAGUUGAGCAGUGAAUUUACUAUGUAGGAAGAGCCGAUUUGUUGAUCUCCCCAGUUUCAUAACACAAAAAACAUCUGGUCUAACAUCUUUUAUCAGAAAUAUAGCAAAUCCACAUAAAUGCAAACAAUGGAUGUUAUCCAUGUUUCAACUUACAUAAUCUAUUUUCUCUACUUAUAAAUGCACCUCAAAAGUUGGAUGAGAGAUUGUGCAAGAUUGGACAGUAGUAUAAAAGUUUUGUAUUUGAAUGAUCCACUAGUAUCUUAGUACGAAAUGUGGAUGUUAACUCGGAUGUGCAAAUCAUACAAAAUUGGAGAGAUACGGCAGAUAGUAUCCCGCCGGUAUAUUAUAACCAUACUAAGCACAAAGACUGGGAUAGGACAGAUAGUAUUCCAUCAUUUUAUUAUGACUGUGUUAAGCAUGAAGGCCCGGAUACAGCAGAUAGUAUCCCAGAAAUUAAAGAAGAUAGUAAUGUCAUCAAAAAGGACUAAGAAAGAUAAUAUGCAUAAUGAACUACAAGAUGUUCCUUAGCUUUCCUAUGCCACCACUAUGUCAUGUUUUAUGCCCCUAUUUCAUGAGCUUUAUUGCCUAUCUUAUGUCAUUCUGUCUGCCUUAUCAGACAAGUGUUAUUCCACGGUACUCAUGUCCCUUUUGUGGGGGACGCUGUAAUGAAUAAUGCAGGUUCAGACACUCGAGUGGCAGAACCACCUCCACCACCACUCACCACCUUGCUAGGCAUUCACUUCACAUCUCAAUUGUUAAUGGUGGGAUAGUAUCUGCCUGUUGAGUCGGGGGACUAUCUGAAAAAGCCUCUCUACCUCCAAGGUAGAGGUAAGGUCUACGUACACUCUACCCUUCGUGGGAUUACACUGGUAUGUUGUUGUUGCUCUUUGGCUUCUAGGGUCUUUCAGUGUCCGUCAUAUUGUCCGUGCAUACUGGUCAUCUUCAUACAGAUACUAGUGCUGCUGUUACCUUAUUUUAACCAAUAACACCUUGAUUUGUGCCUCCUAUUAAUUCUUCACAGUUUGCCACCUCAUGUAGCUAGUCUCUACCUUCUUUUUUUAUGAAGUAAAUGCUAUUUCUACCUCUUUUCUUUGAGAGAAUUCUUUUGUUAAUACCAUACUUCCUUCCAGUCUAUUAAAUAUUAGUAACCUUUACAGGACGUCAUUCUAUUCUACUACUAUUUUGAAGAUUCCAGGAAUCUUAUUGUUCCCUUCUUUUAGGUUUUCUUUAAACACAUUUAGCUUCUCGGACAAAAUGCAAUUAAGUACACCAUUAAUGUGGUAACAAUCUCAGCACUCACUGCUCACUAGAUCUACCAAUUUUUUAAUCAAGGCCACGUGUCCCCAAAUUUGAGGUUAAGAGCUACCUUUUUACCACUGUCCACAAUAUAGUAAUGGUGGACAUGGACCACACUAGAUCUUGGGUAAUAGUAAAUGUGUGAAAUUUGAAGUCAUUACCCCAUUCCCACUCCGACGAGUACAAAAAUUUAUUCAGAAAAUAGUAUGUAAGCAGGUGGAGAAAGUACAAGGCGCAAGCUAAGCCCCACAAAAAGCAUGUAAGUUUCUUUUCAUCAAAAAAGUAGUAGUAUGUAAGUUUCUAUGCAUACUUCCAUUCAUACUGAGAAUAUGUCAAUUAUAUUAAUUCCACAUGACUUCAGAACUAUACAGUCCAUUAUGAAACAACAAACAAUAUAAUAUUUGCUUAUUUACCUUUUUAUUUUUUUUUGCUUAUUAUAAGCAAUGCAAAUAUAUGAAAUAAGCGAAAAGGAGUGAUAAGGCUCACCUUGACAACAUCAUCAGAAAUAACACCAGAAAAUUGGCUAGAAUCAUCAGUUCCUCCAGCACCAAGCAUGCCACGUGAUAGCCAAUUUAACCAUCCACGAGGCUUGCUGGACAUAUGCUCAUCCUCCAUAGGUUUGACAGUAUUGACAAUGUUGCUUACAUUACUCGAAGAAGAAUUCAACAAAAUAUCCUGUAAACCCAGCGAAAACAAUUAUUUAUGUAUUUCUGUGUUUGCGUGUGUAUAUAAGGGAGUUUUUAUUCAACAAAAAUGAAGAAUAGCAAUUCAACAAGCAUGAAAAAACAAACUGUUGAGACCCACCCCCCAAAGAAAGUUCACUACUUAUAGAGAGUAAUUCUCUGAACAUUGUAAACUAAAAAGACGGAAUGAUAAGGCACACUAAACACUACUCCCACUGUUUCAAUCUGUGUGACUGAUUUUCUUUUUUAGUCUCUUUAAAAAUGAUGCCUCUAUACUAACUUGGCAACUCUUUGUUUCCAAAAUCUCACAUGGCAUAUUUAAAACCACAAGAUUAAAGGGCAGUUAGGUAUGGUACAUCUACAUAUCUUUAGUUUAAGACCACAAAAUUCAAGUUUUAUUUUCUUCAACUCUGUACCUAGUUAAAACAAGACAAGCAAAUUAAAACAAAGGAAGUACGUGAAUUCUUCUCAUAUGUCCAAGUCUAGGCACACAAAGUUACCCAGUACGUAUAUUGGUGGGAGAUAGCAGGUACUCCUGCAAUGAUCGAGGUUCGUGCAAGCCAGACCGAACACCACGGUAAUAAAAAGAUAUGAAACACAAAGCAAAAUGCCGAAAUGACAUAUUAUCUGCCUAUACCCACCACUUCAUUAAAUCUUUCUUUAACCAUAUAAAGAGCAUAUGUAUCCCGAGAUUCUCUCUUUCUCAGAAGUGAAUUCCCUCUCAAGGGAAAUGGAGUUCGACCACGGCUAUGAAAAGCUUAUUGAAAUAGGAGGAAAGAGCGUAAACUUGACUCUACAAGUUUCAGUUGCCUCCCUCUCCUGGCCCCCCACCCCCCACCCCAAAACAAACAAAACAAAGUAGAACGGUUACUUGGUUGAUUAUUUCGUCCUAUCAAAGAAAAUGUGACUUGGUUAUUUUCGGUUGAUACCAUGCAUACAUUCAACAUCUCCAGUGAUAACAUUUACACCACCAGCUAUUAUUAUCAUAUCAGCUAGUUAGUUCUUCUAAAUGCAGAAUGAUUAGGAAUGCAACACAAUUUUGGCAAUAAUGACUAGUUCUUUCAAACUUAAACAUACCUGUAACUCACGUUCAGCAGUAGACCUGUAAUUUAGGAUGUCACCCACUUCAGAUUUUUUCUCCAUUUCCUCGAGCAUCUGAAGAACAUCCACAUCAAUCACCUGAGAUUCAAAGUAAAGAUAGACAGUGAUCAAAAUGCAAGCUUCCGGGAACUCUGCAGCCCACAACAGAAAAAUAUUUUCAGCACUUUCAGAAAAGUACCUUCCCCUAAAAGUUUGUGCCAAAAUUGAAACAAGAUUAGGUAUUCAAAUUAGAAACUGGCUAGCUGCAUAACUGUGCAGCCAAGGAAAAAAGAAAAUUCAGUCCUUUCAUAAUAGCACCUACCCCUAAAAGUUUGUGAAAAAGUUGAUACUAGAUUAGGUAUUCAAACAAGAAACUGGCUGUCUGCACAACUGUUGCACAAGAGGUUUAAAAAAGCAGGUCUAAAUGAUCACACCCUUGCCAUUGUUUUAGAAGGCAAAGAGGGUAAACUGAAAUUCGACAGGUGGAACACUCAAUAUCUAUCUCUGGGAGGUAGACUGACUCUCCUUAAUUCAGUUCUUGAUGCCCUCCCGAUAUUCAUGAUGUCCGUGUUUCCAAUUCCAACAGAGGUCAUUAAUUGGUUGGAUAGCAUCAGGAAAAACUUUAGAGACAUCGGAACAAAGAAAGAAAGGAUUUUGCUUGGUUAAGUGGAAACACUAACAGUUGGAAAUAGGUACGGGAGUCUGGGAAGUAAGAAUCUGAACUUACAGAGCAAGGCACUCAGAAUGAAAUGGUUAUGGAAGUUCAUUAAUGAAAAUCAGUCUUUGUGGGUGUCUCUGUGUGUGUGUGUGUGUGAGAGAGAGAGAGAGGGGGGGGGGGGGGAGCCAUUAAAACAAAGUAUGAGGAGGACGAUAAAUGGAUGACUCGGGAGGUUACUACACCUGAUGGGAUAAGCCUACGAACAUCCAUUAGAAAGCUGUGGAGUGAAUUCAAGAUCAAUACCAAGAUGAAAGUACUUAAUGGGGAAAAACUCACUUUUGAAAGUAUGAAUGGGCAUGAGAUUGGCAGUCUAGAAAUGCUUUUUCCAGAUAUAUACAAUCUAGUUCUACACCAACAAAGAAAUAUAGCAGAACUUUGGACACCUCAAGGUUGGAGCUUUACUUUCGGAAGACAGCUUAAUGACUGGGAAACUCAAAGUGUGGCUGAAUUCUUUACACAAUUGAACAGCUCAUGGGGCUUCAGACAGGAGAAGAUGUAUUUUGGUGGCUGGGGAAUAACAGUGUCUCUUUCAAGGUUUAUGCAGAUUACAGAAUGAUGAACCACUCCAAUCAACAGUUGGAAACAUAUUUAGAAAACCAAAAUACCACGCAAAGUAGCUUGCUUAGUGUGGCUUCUGGAUAAGGAAGCAACCUUACACAGGAUAAAUUGAUGAGGAGAGGGAUCCCAUUGUAUUUUUUUUUUAUGACAAGGAAAACCUGCAGCCACUACCCUUUGAGUGCGCACUAGGUAAAACCUCCGCUCCUAUGCAAUAUCUCGCAAACUACAUAGGAGAGGUAACGCGCACUAGGCAAGUCCGGUAUGACAAACUCGACCCAGAAGGCAAACCCUUGCUUUCGCUGGCAAGGAGUUUCGAACUUCAGACCUCCAACAUGGAAGUCCCCAGCCCAAACCACUGGGCCACCCCAUGGAACGUCUGGAACAAUUAGGAAUGCAGGGAAAACUAUGUCAGUUUUCAUCUUGAUGAAAAAGUGUCAUCUUGAUGAAAAACUGUCGGUGUAUCACUGCAAAUGCAAAACAAAGAACGUGGGAUACAAAAACUGCAAGCUAUCAGAGACAUAUUUCGUUAGGCAGUUUCCCAUGGGAGUAUAUGAGACAUCCCUUGUUCUUCAACUCUUUUCACUCAUAGAAUCCUCCUGAUUUCUUAAUAUUUCUCGUUAUAAUUUUCCCCUUUAUGAGAGAAACAUAACUUUUAAAGAAUUUGUGUAACACAGGUAUAUAUAACUUUAAAAAACUGAUAGGCAACUGGGUUUAAAGUCACUAACCUGAUCUUGUCGAAGGCAUUUCAGUUUUAUCUUGUACAAGUUCACAUAUUUCCGGCGGCAAUUUCUAGCAUGACAAAUUUAAGUACAAUUACUUUCACAAUUCACUUAUAUAGAAUGUCAACAUAAAAUUAAAAGGGACAAGUGAAAUGUCUCAUUAUUUAUGAAUAGUUGGUGUGACUGUCCGCAUUGGUUGAAGGAAUGAGUUGUUCUCUCCAUACAUAGUCUUGAACAAUCCUUACACUUCAACUUUUGGGGUUGAGUGCGUCCAUGGUCCACUUAUUUUACAGUUGAAACACAAUUUCAUCCCUAAAAGGAACUCUAUAUAGAUGUACCAAAAAACGUUAUACAGAUGAAGCAAAAGUGUGGCAGGAAGAAGUUUUACUCUGAAUCACUUCAAACUAGCUUAUUAAAGGAAAACUAUAGAAAAUCCUUUUAAGUAAACCCUAAUGCUUCUACAUUAAAAAAAUAAUAAUAAAUAAAAGCCCAAAUGAAAAUUAUCUUCACCAAAAAGGUUGUAUGCUCCGCAAUUGUAUCCAUAUGAUAAGAAUCUAAAGCUAUAGCCCUAAACAAGGUAAGAUACCCAACUCUCUCAAUCAAGAAGCUUAUUAAAACAAAACAAGAGGAGUCAAAACAACUAGGAAAUAAACCCUUAGUACUAAGAAACUAAUCAGAUAAAAGCAAUAUUAAGACUCCGAAUUCCCAAAGUAAAAGAAAGUAGAUAACGACUAGAUUCACUGCAGUACGAACAGUAACUUUCUCUUCCCUUUGCUACACCAACUCUCAGACUCGGAAAAUAAUUGUUGUAGCUCUUAUAUGUAGAUUCUAUAGAGAGAAAUUAACAACAUAUCCAGUGAAAUCCCAAAAGUGGGGUAUGGGAGAUCAUACAUGUUGGGGCAGUUGAUAACAUUGACAUGCUUUCCCAAAUCUAGCAGUGCAGGGUAAGGGCUCACCCUACUACCAUAUGAUUACCUUUGGGCGCAUCGAACCAGGAUCUCGCCAUUUAGAAUCCGGUCAUUUAGAGAGUCAGAGAAGAGUUGGCAGGGUGGCAGAAAAGAUUCUUAUCGAAAGGAGGCAAAAUAAAUGCUUAUUAAGAUCAUGAUAUUGAGUAUCCCUACAUAUUACAUGUCCCUGUUCAACAGUCCUCCCAGGUUAUAGGUAAGAUGGAGAGGUUGCAAAGAGAUUUUCCAUUGAAUGUGGCGGACGGAGCAAAGAAGUUUCAGUUCGUUCAUUGGGAAUCUGUGACAUAUCCUAAACAGUGGGGAGGACUUGGUGGUAAAGACUUGAAGACUUUCAACAAAGCUCAUCUAGGUAAAUGGUUGUUGAGAUUUGGGAUGGAGGGAGAAGCUUUGGUGGAAUGGAAGGGGGUGGAGAACAAAAGGGAUUACAAUUCUUUUUGAGUGUGGUGUGUGGAUGAAUAUAAUGAAGGGUUGGGAUGUUUUCGCUGGUAAAUUACUUUUAGGGUUGGCAAGGGGAGGGAGUUAGGUUUUGGGGGGCAAAAGUGUUGUGGAAGUUUGGUGCUUAUGGAUGAAUUCUCAGUACUGUAUCGGGUUUCAUGCCAAAGUGAAUUAUCUGUUACACAAGUUAGGGGGACACAAAGGGGUGGAAGUUUUUCGGAUUUGAGGUUCAGGAGGAAUUUUCAGGACUGGGAGGUGACAGAGCUUUAGAGAUUGCUAGAUAUACCCCAAAAGCAAUGUGAGCCAGUUGGGUCCAAUGCUUUGAGUUAACAAAGUGCUUUCUAUCAAGUCCUUCUAUGGGAAGCUUUUGGUGAGGGUGGAGGAUGUUCUUCAUAUGGUGCGGUAUGGAUACCAAAGGUGCCGACUGCCGAGGAAUAUGUGCUUCUUCAUGUGGUUAGCUACUGGAGGGUGAUUUUGAGAACCUUAAGAAGUGAAAAGGUUGUCCACAUAAGCUGGUGUUUCCUAUGUAAGGAGACUGGUGAGGAUGUGGAUUAUAUUUUAUUAAAUUGCAAAUUAGCCAUGAGGUAAUGGGAGGAUACAUUUACAUGGUUUGAAGUCACUGGGUAAUGACAAGAUCAGUGAAGGAGUGGAUGUUCAGCUGGAAGUAGAGCAAGGAGAAGAAGGCACAAGCCGUGAAAUGCUACCCCUCUAGCUCUAAUGUAUGUGGGUCAUUUGGAAAGAGAGAAACAGGAGACCUUUGAUGGGCUAGAGAUGAGUAGUCUCUAAUCCCUUAUUUUCUUUUGGUACACCCAUGUAGUUUCUGUUUGUACAGAGGAUUGGGUGACUUUAGAAGAGAAGCAUAUUUUUGUGGUUCUCUUUUUGAUAUAUCUCUUGUAUACAGCCAAGUUAGCCUUUUUAUUACCAAUGAAACCCUUGAUUUUUAAAAAAAAACAAGGGUGCAUCACUGGACUUUUUCAUCACAGUAAUGACUAGUGGUGGCAAAUGGGCACGUUGGGUCAAAUGUGGGCGGCUUGAAAAUGGGUAAACAUAAAAUGGAUAAUCAUCCAACCCGCCCAUAUUUGAUAUAGGUAAAAAUUGAUUGGGUAAUAAAUGGGUUGGGUAAAACACUAGUUUACCUAUAUUUUCAUGAAUAAAUAGUAUUUUACUUCAUAAUUCAAUAUGGAGAGGAUAUUUUAGUCUUUUUCAGAUGAAAAAUGUUGAACAUGCUUCAUUUAGUUUUAUUGUAUCAUAAAAAUUUAAAAAAAAAUCCUAUAAAUUUUCAAUAUAAAAAAGCUUAUGUAAUAACAAGAUGAAAAUAUUUUUAAUUUCAAAGUAGAUGACUAUUUGCAUUUUAGGACUAAAACAUGCUUAUUUUAACUUUAAGCAAUGUCAAUAUCAAUAAAUGAUUUGUUUAUUUUACACUAUUAUUGAUUAUCCAAUAUAAAAUUAAAUAAAUAAAAUGUAAUUACAAUUAACAAAAGAAAUGUACAUUUGAAUUAUAUAUAUUUGGAAAGUCAAAGACUUCACCUUUUCAAUUACAGAGAAGAAUAGUUAGUUCUAUAGAACCUCAAAAGGAAGAGAAGUUACACUAUUUUUAGCGAUAUCAUGAAUUUUGAGUGAAUACAAGUAGAAGCUUAACACAUUUGGUUAAUCAUAUUUUAUCCAUAGUUUUAUGGGUCAAAUAUGGGAAUCAACCCAUAUUUUACCCAUGUGAAAAAACACUCACCCAACCCAUUAAAAUAUGGGUGGGUUGGGCGGUCACAAAAAUAUAGGCUCAUUUUGCCGGCACUAGUAAUGGCAUACCCAAUUCCAUCCAACACAAGUGGCAAAUGAAUGCCAAGACAAAAAAGACAGGCCAGGGUAUCAAAAAUCAUUAAAUUUCCGUCGGGUAGUGAAUGAGUAUCCUUUUUAAUAAUGAGUAGCAGGAGGUUUUGACUUUCAACAUUCACAAAGUGCAAAUGAACAUGAAGCAGUAAUGAAAUGUCAAAUAAUUAACUGUACUAGACUUACAUCUAAAUAAUCUAACAAACAAAACAAAAAAGGAAGUCCUCUAAAUGUUUUGCUAUGUUGAUUGGAGAAAAGUUUCUUGAGAAGAUCAACUUACAGUCUCUCUCCAAGGUACUUCCAAGAAGUUCUCCUCAACCUCUGUUGAACAUCCAGUAAAACAGAUUUUUGUGCAUACUGCCACCAUGCUGUUUGCCAGCCUUUAAUCUUUUUACCUAAAGGACUCCACCAAGGACGAAACCGUCCAUACCUACAUGGACAGACAACAGAACCACUUACAAGAACAUCAACAAUUUAGAAAGGAUAUUCUUUUCUGAUACAUCUGAUGGAUGUUUAACCAUAAAGUAAGCAAGAAUAGUAUGAUGUGAUGUGCACAUCACACUCCCUGUUCCAAGCAUCUCAACAUUUUUAGCAUUUUCAAUUUUUUUGUGGAGCACAAAAUUUAUACCAUCCAAGCAUUGUUGAGCUUUCUGGAGAGUAAUAUUUCAGUAUAGCUCAGUUCUCACAUAAAUAAGUUACAUGUAUUGGGGAUUUAUCACUUUUCUGUUAUUGCAAAAUUCAGUUGUAUUUAUGGAGAUGAGAAUAUCAACCGACAAUGCAGGCUUUCCCCAUAAGAUGUUUAAGAAUAUAAAACAACAACUUAACACACAAUUCUAUUUGCAUAGAGAUUCUUUCAUUCGCCAUAUGUAAUGACCCAAAAGGCCAUUUUUGGAAUCUUUUAUAAAAUUACCGUUUAUGCUUCCCGAUAAUUGCCCUGAGUCAUUUCCGAGCAGUCGGUGAAGUUGGUUUGAGAAUUUUGAAACUAUUUGUUUCACUAUAGUUAAUUAGUUGACGGGUAGUUGUUAAGUAAUUAAUUUAAUUAGUGGUUAAUGGGCCAAGUCCAUAAUUUAAUUACUACCCCAUUUCACUUAACUUAAGUAUUAGAAUAAUUAAAUAGGAUUUUAGCAUUUAUGAGCUAUGUUGAAAUAGGUGAAGGUGGCAUAACACAAGAGGCAACAUCUUUUUCAAGGUAAAAGCAUACUAACGCCCUUACUCGUUCAAUGUGUAUAGAAAAUUGUAUUGCAUCUACAUUAGCAUAUUAAUAUAAUAGUUGUUAAGGAAAAGGAACAAAGUCGAUUGAAUUAGUACUGUUGUGAAAUCUUUAGGCCAAAAGUAGUGGGCAAUUAAAUUUGAACCGAUAACUACGUAAUGAUGACAAAAUUGAAUAGGAAAUGAGAGACAUGAUGAGGUAAUCAUUGGAAAAUGAUAUUUUUAAGUAAUUCGUUAAUGUUCUGAAUAUUUCCUGGUAAACUUGAAUAGUCCUGGUUUGUUGUUAGAAGUCAGGGGUUAUGUAUUAAAUUUCAAUUUAAGAAUUAUUUUUGAGGUCAUCGUAUUAUGAUUCAAGUUUUGAUAUAUAGAUAUAAGUAAUUAUACAUAAGAUGGAUUUUAUUAUAUGGAUUCCAUUAAAGUUAUGUUAUUUGGAGGAAUUGAGACUUAACUUAGGCUUAAAAUUUGAAAAAUACGAGAGUUGACAUGUUAAUUGGCAUCAAAAUUGGGAACUUGAUAUUAAUAUGGACAUUGGUAGUUUCAAAAUCUUAUUGUGAUUAUUUGUUUGAAUAGAUUGCUUUGAUUUGGAAGUCCAACGAAAGGGGAAGGCUCAAAUCCCAAAGUGAAUUGUUGAUUAAUUGAGGCAAGUGAAUUUCUCAACCCUUGUUAGGUGUAUAGAAUUGUGUAUUUCCUUGUGGAUGUGUUGGGGAGUAAUGGAAUUCGGUGAUGGGUUGACUUGUUCAUAUUGAAUGAUCCUGAUGAGGAAAAGGGGGUAAUAAAAGGCAACUUGAUUUUACAUUGAUGUGUGAUGUGUUGAGAAUGGUUUGAAAGGCGUAUCGAUUCAUUGUUGAUAUCGUAUCACAAUUGUGUUGUUGUAAUUUGUGCAUUGUUAUGGACAUGGUCGUCUUCUUAUUAAUUGUGUAAACAUGGCAUUGGCAUAGCAUCUGAGACAUGGUUGUGACAAAUGUUACGUGGAUUGAGGAAGAAUAAACAAUUAAAGAGAAUGUACCAUUUCAAGGGAUGUGUCGCGUGCCCCGACGGAUAUUAUUAUUCAAAGGAUGUGUCGCACGCCGCGACGGAUAUUAAAAUUGGAGGGACGUGGUGCACGCUGCAACGGAUAUUAUGAUUUGAAGGAUAUGUCGCAUGGCGCGCCGGAUUCUAUUAUUGAGGGUCGUAUCGCACGCCGCAAUGGAGGGCAUGGAAAUAUAUAUCACCCAUGGGUCCCAAAUUGGUAGACAUCGGGUAUGUAUCAUUAGGUCAUACAUGCAUCUUUAUCAUUUGUGAACUUGCGAGUACUUUUCUAUGGAACUUGAUCUUGUGUGUGGCUGAUCUAUAAUUGUUGAAGUGAUGUUGUUGAACUAUGUGUUAUUGAAAUUGUGAACUAUUAGGUUAGGUAGGGCUGGGCUGAUUUUAUGCAGGUUGUAGUUGUGGAGAUUCGUUUGGGAUGGUAGGAGUACCUGUAUUCUAUACCUUAGCUUUGUGUUUAGGAGUUUGCUUGUUAAGUGUCAUGUGGUUGGGUACUCACCCCUUGCUUCUACAAUUAUGUAUGUUACAAGCCCGAAUUUUCGUGAUACUCUUCCUUCUUGUCCAUGGCUUACUGUGGAGAUUUGUGAGGUAGUUGUUUUUCAUCUCAACGGACCCUCUUACUCCCAUUUAUGAUUUUGUUCUACUUUAAAGAUAACAUCACUUGAGACUUGCAUUUUCUUACUUUAGAGAUAACAUCACUUGAGACUUGCAUUUUCUUUCAAAUCUAUUGUAAUACAUUAGAGGCUUGUACACGUGAACCUGGUUUUUGGGGGUUUAAUUAAGUUGAUUUGUUAUCCGCAUUAUUAUUUGUUGUUAAACAUAUCAUUCUUAUUUUACUUCCGCACUUCUCAUUAUAUUUGUAUUUUAGGCUUACUUGUCUUAGUGGGAUAUGACAAGUAUGAUCACAUCCAUUUUUAGGUCAUUACACCAUAAAUAAGAUUUUAGCAGCACAGCUAAUCAUGAAAAUAUAUCGACCAGCACAGCUUAAACAAUACUCAGUCUCCUUUUAAGUUGUUGGAAUCAAAAGUUCGGUUGAGAAAGCUGAAGCUCUAGGGAAUGAAUAUGUACAAAAUUUAGAUAAUAUAUUAAUAGGAGAUGUUGAGAGACAAACAGCAAUGCAAUGGAACUUAGCAACUGUUUCUAGGUUGAGGACAUCUAGUUCUCAAUCCUUCUUUCAUCAAUAAAAUAUCCUUCAUCAUAAAAGAUGGGAAGGGGAAACAGGAAAAAAGUCCGAGAAAAUCUCUCAAAGUCUGAGUGAAAACAUAGUUCCGAGGUAAAACUAUUGUGAUCCUCAAAGAAAAGGUUUUGACAAGAAAGCUGAUACAAAUGAAAAACUAUUGGAUAUGAUUAAAAAAUUAGAAGGGAAAAGGUGACAAGAUCUUACUUCUCUCUCAAUUGGCAUGUCAGCAAAUAAUCACAAAUGCUCAAGAUUUGUUGCAUUUGAAUCUCAUCCAGUGAAACAACCUAAUAUGCAAUGAGAAAAGAGAUCAGCAACUAUGUUAAUGAAUGGCGAAUGAAAUACUUUGACACAGUAGGAAAUAUCCUGUACUAACCACACUAUUCAACUCUACACUUAUGAAGUAUUGAGGAACAUCUUUCUCAAGCCUUCCUAAACGAUUUACCUAUACAAGAAUGGAUAACAGCUCAUUAGAAAACAAAUGAAAAAGCAGAAAGUUGACAAACAAAAAGACAUGUUAAUUUCACCGUGUAAUACAAAACAAGUGCACAUGAGCCUAUUAAAUUAAUCAACUCUUUCAAAAUCUAAUGCAGAUUUAAGUCAGGUAAAUUUCCCAUGAGGAAAAGAAAACUAGAACUAUAUAAAAAAAAUGUUUAAAUAGCUAUUUAGAGAAUACAGUCAUGUUGAACCAUAGUUUUUACUUAUUAGUACGAAAAUGAAGGAAAACCUGCAGUAGAGGUUUAAUUGGUGAGUUUUAAGCAUUAAGAGUUGGGGUGAUAUUCGUAACCACAAUGGAAAGCUUCUACAGAAAGGGAAAAUGUUGGCUGUGGUGUGGUUUAUUCUUGGAGCUUUUCAAGAUCACUCUCUCUUAAAACACAGUACAUGGGAUUGAGUGGUAUUUGUCCUUUAUGUGGUGUAAGGCUAUAGGCCUCCAAUGAGAUAUUUACUCGACAAAUCUUCAGAACUAAAUUUAUCUCUUCUAGCCUGAUGACAACUAGUUUUCCUCAGUGACAUAUUUUGAUAGAGGUGGAAUCUAGGCCAGCUUCCGCACACCUUGAUUACUCCACCACUGCCUACUACCUCACACCAGUACAUGUACCGGGUAACUCUGCUAAAUAUAUUCCAUCUGCAUAUCAAAAAUAGUUAAGCUUGAAUUCAGAUGGAAAAUGAGAUGUGAGAUAAGAGUUUGGUUAUUCCAUCAGUGCAUCUUUUGUUGAACCAUUUGGAGAUAGCACAUUAAGAAUAAAGCUUCACGGGAUUUCUACCACUCAAAUUUAAUAUUCAAAUGCAAGAUGAGAAGUUGGAUGUCCAUCAUAAUAGAAGCAUCCUUACAUCAUAUUUUCCUUUUUCGACAUGCAAAACUGCCAUUUUAAGGAGGUUGUCAAGUAAUGAAAUGCACCUUUAAUAGAGCAGAUUAGAUACAGAUGACUCGUAUAGCUCGUACGAACUAACUUGGAAUUGAGGUUUAGUUGAAUGAUGGUGAAGUAAUGUUGGACAAAAAGUGCUCUUGAGGAAGUAAUUCAUGGAGGAUGUAUUGCAUGGAAAGAAAGAUAUGGAACCACUUAUGAAAUGUCUUAUAUUUCAAUUAUUGGGAAGCACACAAGUGGUCCAGUUAAUUUUAACCUAUAUAAUAUAGAAAGCAAUAAAGUAUGCCAUUUUAGAUAAUGGAUUAUUAAAGACUCGAGUAUGACUGCUCUCUUUGUUUUUAAUUCAAAACACAAAAGAAAUGAACAAAUAACGGAAGAAAAAAAAUUAAGUAUCAGAUUCACAUACCGAAAGAGACAAAGUUACAUCUAGCGGGACCAACAUGCAUCCGUCAUUAUUUGCUUCUGAUUCUCUAGCCUGACUGUUAGAAUCCACUGCAUUGUGUCUCAUCACCUCAUGACUACUUUGUAAGGUAUUACAAUAGAGUUCCAAUCCUUUAACUUCAACAAGUUUGUUGACACUCCCAUCUCUAACUUUCCCACUAAAAGAUGGACAAAGGACAAGUAAUGAUUAUAACAUCCAAAUAUAAAUCAAAAGACUCGGAUAAGACACUAAUUAAGUAAACAAAAAUGUGUUCGCUCUAAAAGUGCUUCCAAGUGUAUUUUGCUGGAAAGUGGUUUUAGGGAAAACUUGACCUUUUUCAGCUUCAGAAAAACAACUUCAGAAGCACUUAUUUUCUCCCAAACGCUUGGUCAAACACCUCACUUUUUUAAAAAUAAGCAUUUUUAGCUUUCCAAAAGCUUGGCCAAACAGCCUAUAGAUAUGUGCAAAUUGACAGACAAAUCAACCUAAUACUUGCUGGUUAUUAUCACGGCCCACCUUUUACGUAUUAAAGGAUCCAAUUCCAAGGAAGAACAUAAGAUUAUCCUCAUCAAAUAGACUAUCUCACGCAUAAGAAAUAUGACUAGCAGAAAGAACAGUACAUUUUUUAAGCAUCGGAAAUUCAUCAAGACAAGUGACUGCAUCAAAGAAAAAAGAUACAACACCUACUCAAAAAAAUAGGGGACAGAGUCAUACCUAAUUAGUUGUCUCAUAAUUGUCAAACUUGAGAGCUUCAGACCAAACACGGUUACUGCCUGACGGAGAAGGAAACAACUGCUUGGAAUGAUGACUAAUAUAACAGAACAUUUUAGAAUAAUAUCGACACUUAAUGAAAUAAACAACAUUUCACUUAAUUCUUACAAGUAACCUGAACCAAAAAAGUUACAAUUGAACCCCCUACUCCAGUAAAGAAAUGGCUAAAGAAAGACUCAUCGCAGAAAAAGAUGUUACAGAAGACGGAGGCAAGUUCAUUGUAAUAUUUCGUUUAUACAGAAAAAAACUUGUUCGAGAAGAAUGAGUAAUACUACAUCUGGCUUAUGGAUUCUCUGUGUGAGAAAAAAGUAAAGUUCAACUGUAAAUGAUCCAAAAACAGAUAAUAUUCUGCAACUAGAGCUCUCGAGCUACUUUAAAGAUCUAAAAUUGCAUCCCCUUGGAAUAGAGAAUGAUUGUAGCCAGAAAUCUCACCAUGUGUCAUAAAAAUUUGAUAGCAAUUAUUGUUUAAGAUUCAGCUCCUUCUAUGGUUUGUUUAAAAGCCUUGGAAGAGCACAUUGGUUCAUGUUAAGAGCCGUAUAAAUGAGAGAACAAGUAGGCUGAAUGACAUGCAAAGACAAAAUAUGUAACUUUCUGCCUUCGAUUUUAGCAAUGUUAAUAAUACAUAAAAGGGAUUAAUAAAUAUUAACAUGCAAAUAACUUUUAUCCUAAGAAAAUUCAAGGUUAGAAUUCACAUCGCACUUCUGCCUAUAAAAUCUAAAAAGUUCUUUUGACAUAAGCAUCAUCUUCUUCAACUAGAGUCUAACCCGCAUCGAAAAGCACAUAAAUGGCUUCUUCCUUGAGAGACCCAUAAAUGUGUCUUACAUUUCUUUUAUUACUAGUAACACCUUUUAUGUCAAAUUUGUUUUUUGAUAAGGUAAACGUAUUUUCAUUCAUAAACAUGGCCAAAAAGCUGGCCGUAUAACAGGGGUGUAUACCAAAAGGUAAAGAAUCUACAAUAAUAAAUGAUUCUCGCAAACUCCACCCAAUCUCCUAUACAACUUGGAACUCUAUAGGUGCAGCAAAAGAAAAAAAAGGACCAGAGGCAACUCAAUUGAGAAAAACACGACUCUACACCAUCAAAAGCUCUCAUAUUUCUCUCCAUACCACCCACAUCAACGCGAGUGAAACCAUGUUUCAUGCCCUGCGUCUUCUCCUCUUUCUCCCGCUCUGACAAUUAAAUAUCACCUCUUUCGUAGUUCUUGGCAUUGCCCUUAAAAUACCAAACCACCAAAAUAUAUACUAUAUGACCUCAUGGUAAAAUCACAAUGAAGAAGAUGAUCCACAUCCUCACCCACUUCCUUACAUAUCUAAGACCAGCGGACACAAACUACUUUUUGCUUUCUAAGAUUUUCCAACAUGAAGAUCACCGCUCUAAUAGCUAACCAAGUGAAAAAUAAAACACCUUUGGAAUCCAACUACUUUACAAGGAAAAAAAUCCUCCUCCUUAACCAAAAGUUCUUUUAUAAAAAAAAGGAAUUGACCGAGAACAUACCAUUAUUCCCCGUGUUCAACCACAAAGCAUUGGGAUUAUCUACCUCUGUGACCUUUAUAUGGGGCAAAUCCAACAAUAUUGGAAACUCAAUCACCUCCCGUCACGGAAAUCCCUCCUAAAUCUAAAGUGCCAAAAAGUCUCUCCACAUUGUGUCCUAAUAUGUUGAAUUGUCAAGUCUCUUUGGCAAGAAAUUCUGUAUAGGCUCUGGAACUCAUAUUUCAACAAAUUAUCUCCACACCACCUAUGUUCCCAAAAUCUUACGCUCCUCCCAUCUCCAACCUUGAAUGAGAUGUUUAUUCUGAAUUCCCUUCAAGAUAUUCCUCCACAAAUAGCACCCAGAAGGCAUAGUCACAUCUCUAGUUUCCUAUUCCCCUUCCACAGCCCCGUAGUUAUCACUUAAGAUCUCUCUCUACAAAGCAUUAACAUACACCCCAAACCUCUAAAGCCAUUUGCCUAAAAAAGCUUUGUUAAACGCCUUUAAGUCUUUAAUGUCGAGCCCUCCCCAUCGCUCGUAUCCCAAAGAAAAUUUUCUUGGAUUUUUUUAACUUUCUUGAGACCGAAGUUGAAGCAUGAAACAAAGACAUGUAAUAAGUAGGAAUGCUCAAAAGAGUACUCUUAAUGAGCUUUUCUUUCAUCUUUGGACAGAUAGCUUUUUGGGCAACCUGUUAAUAUCUUCUCAGUCCUCCGAAGAACCAAAUUUCACACUGUAUGAUUAUUGUUUGAAGCACUUAAUGGUAAACCGAUAUAGUUAGUCAAGAGGGCUCCAAAUCCAGCAAUUCAAAACCUGAUCGAGAUUCAAUGACACCCGCCUCAACUAUGGGAAUAAUCUCGCACUUCCUAUAAAUUAACUUUAGAGCCUGACACGACUUGAAACCAACUAAAUAAUCCAAUUUGGUCCUAUUUGCAUCAAAAAAAACUGACUAUAAUCCGCAAACAACAAGUAAGAAAUUGGAAGAGUUCCAACACCCAACAACAACAUUGAAACCCUUAAUGAAUUAUCUGUGACGGCUCUAUCCAUCAUCUUGCACAACACUUCCAAUACUAUGACAAACAACAUUGGAGAAAUAGAAUCCCCUCAUCUUAAGCCCCUUAGAGCUCCCAAGAAAACGCAAGGAUUGUCAUUCACCAAAGCAAAAUAUCUCAUUAAAGAGAUGCAAGAAUUGAUCCAUUUUCUCCAUUUCUCCCAAAAAACCAUUAGCAGCAUAACAACAUCCAGGAAACUCAAGUUCACAUCAUAGGCCUUUUCAUGAUCUGGCUUGCAAAUACACCUAGCACUCCUUGCUUUUUCCUUGAAUCCACCACUUCAUUCACCACAAAGAUUGCAUCCAAAAUUCGUCCACUCUCCACAAAAGCAUUCUGGGAAAUAGAUAUAGUCUCGUACAUCACCUUCUUAAGUCUAACGGAAAGCACCUUAGAGAUGAUCUUAUAAAAGUUUGCAAGUUAAUAGGUCUAUAAUCCUUCAUGCUUGAGGCUCCCUCCCAUUUAGGGAUGAUAACAAUAAACGAUUCAAACUUUUUUCAAUAUCACCUUUAUUUUGACCGUAAUCCAACAAUGUUGAAAAAAGCCAACGACAAACUAUCAGGCCCGGAGAUUUGUCACCCACGCAACACUCGAACCCCUUUUUCACUUCUCGAUUUCCAUCUCAAGCCACACACACUCCUCCUCACUGAUGUGAUCGAAGUCUAAAUCCCCAAAUUAGGCCUCCAAGUCUCUUCGUCUUUGAACAAAACCUUCGUAAAAUUCUACUACCCCUUCUACUUCAUCCUUCCCCAAAUGCACAACCUCAUUUACCUCCACCAACUCUAUGAAAUUCUCUCUUAUUUGAUACUGCUACCCUAUGAAAAAAUUUAGCUUUUGAAUUCCCUUCCUCCAACCACAAUGCCCUCGGCAUUUGCCUCCAGCUAACCUCUUAGGCAAAGCCAACACAGCUAGGUUCCUUUUCAACCACUCUUUCUCACUCCCCUCUAACUCGCUCCCUAUUUCAUCUUCUCUAACUCCCCUAUUUUAUUCAUAACCCCCCUCAUUUUCACUUUUACCCUCCCAUAUACCUCUUAAUUCCACACACUUGUGUCUUUUUUAACCAAUUUCAAUUUCUUGGCAAGCCUAUAAGAAGGCCACCCCUCCAAUGCAUAACUCGUCCACCAACCAGCCACUCUAUCCCCAAAACCCGACACACUUACCACAUGUUUUCAGAGCUGAAAGGAGAUCUCAUCUGUCUAACUCUGCUUCCAUCCAACAUGACGGUGCAAGUGAAUGAGGCACUUGAUAAAGGCCAAAAUUCUACUUCAUCCUAGAUAGUAGGUUACAAAAUGGACAUGUAGCACAAUGCACAAUGAGAUGAGAGAGAAGCCCAGAGAAAACCUAUCAAUGAAGGAUUGCUAAAAAGCUGAAAGUUAAGGACCAAGAAAACAGCCCAACAAGCUCAAGAAUUCAAAUGGAAAGCAAAUCGACUACAGAAGGAAAUAUAAAGAUUCUCAAAGACAAUUAGGUAAAACUAUACCGAAGAUGUCAGCAUGUCACGGUAAAGAACAUGAACAUUUCUGAUGGACAACUGAAUGCUGUCAAGGAUCUGAAGAAGGAAAUCAGGAACAAAGUAUUAGAGAAGAAUGAAAAUAUGUGUAUAUAUACAACUAAGUAGCACAACCAAGCCAAAGAAAUUUGUAAGGAAAAAAAGAUCCCAGCAGGUUCAGUCAGUGCUUUUGACAAAUAAAUAAUACAACCUUUGCAGUAAUGUAUGAAGUGAAUGAGUUUCCAGCCUGACUAUCUGCAAAACCCAAAAGAUUUUUUAAGAAGUAUACAAAAGAACAUCGAAAAUUAAACAUACAAACAUCAACAUAUUGAUCUCUACUAAGAACCCAUUUUGCAUCGCUCAAAAUUCACAAUUUGUCAUACAAAAUUUUAGUAACUGUAAUACCCAUAUUAAGAAAAAAAAAUAUGUGAGUUAUUAAUGGACAAAUUAUUUCUUUUUGUUUUAAUUAAAUCAACUGCUGCAAAUAAAGAAAAUAGAAAGUUAAUGGGCCAUAGCUCAUAACUCACGUGAUAAAAAAAAGCUUUUGAAAAAAAAAAAGGAAAAAGACUGGGUAUAACCUCUCUGUUUAAAGGAAAGCUGGGAAGAGAAAAAAACCCAUCGCACGAGGCUUAUAAUUAAAAAGAGAAGGAGGAAAAAAGGUAAGUUUCUGAUCUUGAAUUAUAUAUUUUAUUGUAUAUUCCAUGACUACAGAUUGGGUUUCAGAAUUGGAGAAUCAUGAGUUAAAGAAACAGUGAAACUUGCUCAGGAACUAAUGGAGUGCAUUUAAUUAUUAGACUAUAAGUUUUUGUAUAGUGGCAUAUAUGAAGUAAUAGUAGACGGGCAGUAAGGUUUUGUUGGCUAAUUACGAUGAAAAAUUAAUCAAGCUGAGGCUGUUUUGUGUGGUUAAAGCACCAAUUAGGUGACUGGACAGAUUUCGAGUCCUUCAUGGAACCUCUAGGGCUGGGUAUCUUAAUGUAGUAUGAAAUAGCAUGUAUUAAGAGGUUAACACGAAGUUAUGAAUGUGAUUAUAGAUUGACCAAUGGAAUUCAUACGGAUUACUAGAGUAACGAGCUUGGUAUUUCAAAUGAAAAUACUGAGUAGUAAUCUUACCAUAAUGUGUUUUGUAACUUUCAUGAUUUAUACGUGGUUUAUAAAGUGAAUGAUUUUACCAAAAUGUUUUGAACUUGCAUAUGGGACAAGACUUUUCCUUGAUAAGAUACCGAAAUAGUUAUUUGAGAUGAACUCAUUUUUAUAAGAUAUAUUUAUUGCUACUUGAGAUAUGAUUACCGUUAACGAAAUAGUUCCAUUUACAUUGAGAAAUAGCAUUUUGACAUAUGUUUUGAUCAAAGAUUUAUAUACUACGAUUUGAUAAGAACUUGAAUGUCGUACACCCUUUUGGAAAUGUUUCUAUUGAUUACAAGGAAAAGUAUAAACGGGAGUAGACCUUGAUGAAUCCCGUAGCAGCGGGUUCAUUAGACCUGCUGCACCUUGCAGUUACAGAUUACAAAUAAAGCCCUUGCUAGUGGGAAGGUAGAACUAGCAAUGCAGUCACCGAUAUCCCUCGAGUAGGGAUCUACCAAUAUGAAUAAAUAACUCCCUUAUGAGGAGUUCACCGUUAUUGGUUUACUUCUACAUAAUUCAUCUUUGGACACCUCCCAAACAUAAGAUUGAUAUGAAAGUGUUCCUUAGAAUUUAUUUCUAAACUAGUAAAAUUACUCAUGCCUCGUGUGGGAAUUUAGUAUCAUGAAAUUUAUAAAAUAACUAGGUAAAUUACACAUUUUAUUAAACUUACAUAUGAUUAUUCGGUAAUAUGACCGACAGUAAUGAUUAAGUUUCAUGGAAAGUGAGGAAUGAAAAAGGUUCAUUAGAAGUUUAAUUAAUGUAUUUCAAUUCGAUUACUCUAUAGCAAAAAAGAAAAUACAAUAGUGGCAGAAAUAAAAGUUUUGUUUACGAAAAAACCAAAUGUAAUAAAUUCAACCAUUUCAACAACGAUAUGAAUUGUGGAAUUAGAGGUGCAAAAGUAGUAACGUGACAUUGCAAUCGAAAUCAAUUUUCUUUGUUAAUACGAAGAAACCUGUAGAAAGGGACAAAAGAGAAGAUCAAUUUUCAAUUAUCUUCUAAGAAACUUUUAACAAAGUUAAAAGAAAAAUGUCACCAAAAUAGCAAAAAGAGUUGUCAUACUUACAUGAAUCACACGACUUAUAAUAAAGAUUAAGCUCCAUGAAAUAGGAGGAUGAAAACUUUUAGGAUUGAAACAAACUUCAUAAGAAGCUUAAUCAAUGUAAUUGAAUUCAACUAUCCAAUGGAAAAAACCUUCAAAUAAUAGUGGCAGCAACUCCCUCUAUUUAUAGAUAACAUAGGGUAGUGUGAAUAAAUAUUUAUUGUGCCUUAUCGGAAAGGUCACAACUCUUUGGAAAAGUUGCAACCAUUUGGAAAGGUCACAACCUCUCAUAAAAGUCACAAUUUUCAUAAAAGUCGCAACUCUUCAUAAAAGUUGCAACUCUUCAUAAAAGUUGCAACUUUUUAUAAAAGUCACAACUCUUCAUAGAAGUCGUAACUAUUCAUAAAAGUCGUAAUUUUUCAUAAAAUUCACAAUUUUUCAUAAAAGUCACAACUAAUCAUAAAAGUCACAUAUCUUCAUUAAAAUCGCAACUCUUCAUAAAAGUCACAAUUUUUCUUGAAAAGGGAAGGCUAGUGUUGGAAAUAAAUAAAUUUAAAAGGGAAUUCUGGUUUGUGGUGAUGCCACGUAGGCGGACCUAAUGUUUUCUUUUAUAUAUAUAUAUAUAUGAGAUAUAUGAUACUUAAACUUAUCGGUCAUUAAAACUAAACCACUACAUUAUCUUACCAUUACAUAGUAACUAACAUUAAUAAUGAAAAGCAAAACGAAAAUUAUAACAAUCUUGUCAUUUAUCCUUUAUAUCAUAAGCAUAAAUUAAUGAUUGUAAAAAUACAUACCAGCGAUCUGUAACAAUAAAAUGAAACAUAAAGAAAAAAUCGAGUCCACUGAAUGCACAGGGGAUAGUAUCCCCUUAAGAAAACUAUUGAGGUUUAAAGGAAUAGAUCCUCUCAGGAUCAAACGAUUUUAUAAACCAGUGUAUUUAUAAAAAAACUGGUGUUAGUGAGCCACUCAAUCGGAGCAAAGUACAGGAAUAUCUAGUUGUGCAGAAGAAGUAGUAGUUCCGAAUUUUGUUGUUUCAAAAUGAGAGAAAAUCUCUCUAUUUAUAACAACAAAGGGUAGUGUGAACAAACAUUUAUUGUGCUUAAUUGAAAAGGUAACAACUAUUUGGAAAAGAUGCAACCCUUUGGAAAGGUGACAACCUUUCAUAAAGUCGUAACCCAGCCCAAGAAGCUGCUGCUGAGCCCGUAGAGACUGGAGCCAAGCCUGGAAGGGCGAACCAAGGAACUCAGACUGUGGAGCAGCAACCUGUGAUCCAUUCGGUUAACCACAUGUUCUUUUUACUCGCGAAAAUGGUGCCUUUAAAGCAAACUAAGAGCAGGGAAGGGACUAUGGCCGGCAUAAGCUCACCAAUUAGGAUGCGUCAGGCUCAUGACCUGAAGAUUGCAGGUUCGAAUCCUGUCCCCGCCUAAUCAGUGGAACAUUGUUCACCGGGAUAGAAGGCCGGUCCCAACCCGUCUACAAAAUGGGGCUAGUGUUCAGUCUUGGUUGGUUCCACCUCUUUGCAGGGUGAUGACAC
rnacentral:lncRNA from 1 species